rnacentral:antisense_RNA from 1 species
GAAAUGAAAGAUUAAGCGUUUUGAUAACAAAACUACGUAACUAUAAGAAAAUUUAAGGCGUGUUCUAGAUCUAGAUAAGAAAAUUGGAUACAUCAAGUGUAUGGUGCGUCCGAGUGGACUCGAACCACCGACCCCCACCA